rnacentral:rRNA from 1 species
ACAGUGGACGCGAGCAUCUGUGGCCAAGUUUUUAAGGGCGCACGGUGGAUGCCUUGGCACCAGGAACCGAUGAAGGACGUGGGAGGCCACGAUAGUCCCCGGGGAGUCGUCAACCAGGCUUUGAUCCGGGGGUUUCCGAAUGGGGAAACCCGGCAGUCGUCAUGGGCUGUCACCCGCUGCUGAACACAUAGGCAGUGUGGAGGGAACGAGGGGAAGUGAAACAUCUCAGUACCCUCAGGAAGAGAAAACAACCGUGAUUCCGGGAGUAGUGGCGAGCGAAACCGGAUGAGGCCAAACCGUAUGCGUGUGAGACCCGGCAGGGGUUGCGUAUACGGGGUUGUGGGAUCUCUCUUCUGUCGUCUGCCGGCGGCAGGACGAGUCAGAAACCGUUGAUGUAGGCGAAGGACAUGCGAAAGGUCCGGCGUAGAGGGUAAGACCCCCGUAGUCGAAACGUCAACGGCUCGUUUGAGAGACACCCAAGUAGCACGGGGCCCGAGAAAUCCCGUGUGAAUCUGGCGGGACCACCCGCUAAGCCUAAAUAUUCCCUGGUGACCGAUAGCGGAUAGUACCGUGAGGGAAUGGUGAAAAGUACCCCGGGAGGGGAGUGAAAUAGUACCUGAAACCGUGUGCCUACAAGCCGUGGGAGCACUUUGGUGUGACUGCGUGCCUUUUGAAGAAUGAGCCUGCGAGUUUGCGGUGUGUUGCGAGGUUAACCCGUGUGGGGAAGCCGUAGCGAAAGCGAGUCCGAACAGGGCGUUUCAGUAGCACGCUCAAGACCCGAAGCGGAGUGAUCUAGCCAUGGGCAGGUUGAAGCGGAGGUAAGACUUCGUGGAGGACCGAACCCACCAGGGUUGAAAACCUGGGGGAUGACCUGUGGUUAGGGGUGAAAGGCCAAUCAAACUCCGUGAUAGCUGGUUCUCCCCGAAAUGCAUUUAGGUGCAGCGUCGUGUGUUUCUUGCCGGAGGUAGAGCACUGGAUAGGCGAUGGGCCCUACCGGGUUACUGACCUUAGCCAAACUCCGAAUGCCGGUAAGUGAGAGCGCGGCAGUGAGACUGUGGGGGAUAAGCUCCAUGGUCGAGAGGGAAACAGCCCAGAGCAUCGACUAAGGCCCCUAAGCGUACGCUAAGUGGGAAAGGAUGUGGAGUCGCACAGACAACCAGGAGGUUGGCUUAGAAGCAGCCACCCUUGAAAGAGUGCGUAAUAGCUCACUGGUCUAGUGAUUCCGCGCCGACAAUGUAGCGGGGCUCAAGCGUACCGCCGAAGUCGUGUCAUU